CAUACCGCACCGCUGACUCGACCAGAUCCCGUUUCAGUUCCUCAAUCGAACGUCCUGCGAAAAGCCCGGGGGAGGCGCAAAUAGCCCUUGAUCCCGGGAUAUCCGAAUGGGGCAACCCGGCAGGCUGAAGGCCUGCCAUCCCGUAAGGGAGGCGAACGUGGGGAACUGAAACAUCUAAGUACCCAUAGGAGGAGAAAAUAAACAAUGAUUCCGUAAGUAGUGGCGAGCGAACACGGAAGAGCCCAAACCCAUGUCGUCUAGGCGACACGGGGGUUGUAGGACCACGACGUGGCAAGAAGGAAGGGAAAUGGAACGACUUGGAAAAGUCGGCCAUAGACGGUGAAAGCCCGGUACAUGACUCCCUUACGAAGCCUAGUGGUAUCCUGAGUAGCGCGGGGCACGAGAAAUCUUGCGUGAAACAGCGGGGCCCAUCCCGUAAGGCUAAAUACUCCCGAGAGACCGAUAGCGAACCAGUACCGUGAGGGAAAGGUGAAAAGAACCCCGAGCAGGGGAGUGAAAUAGACCCUGAACCCGUCUGCCUACAAGCGGUCGGAGCGUCGUAAUGACGUGACGGCGUGCCUUUUGCAUAAUGAACCUACGAGUUACCUUCCCCGGCAAGGUUAAGUACCUAAGGUACGGAGCCGAAGCGAAAGCGAGUCUGAACAGGGCGCCAAGUCGGGGGGGGUAGACGCGAAACCGAGUGAUCUACCCUUGGCCAGGUUGAAGGUUGGGUAACACCAACUGGAGGACCGGAUGGGUAAGCGUUGAAAAGCUUUCCAAUGAGCUGAGGGUAGGGGUGAAAGGCUAAUCAAACUCGGAGAUAGCUCGUACUCCCCGAAAUGCAUUUAGGUGCAGCCUCUUUAUAGUAUAUCGUGAGGUAGAGCGACUGAUUGGAUGCGAGGGCUUCACCGCCUAUCAAGUCCAGAUAAACUCCGAAUGCGCGAUAUAUAUUUACAGGGAGUGAGGGCGCGGGUGCUAAGGUCCGUGUCCGAGAGGAGAAGAAUCCAGACCACCGGCUAAGGCCCCCAAAUGAUCGUUAAGUUGAACUAACGAGGUCGGAUCGCAGAGACAGCUAGGAUGUUGGCUUGGAAGCAGCCAUUCAUUUAAAGAGUGCGUAACAGCUCACUAGUCGAGCGAUCUGGCGUGGAUAAUAAUCGGGCAUAAACGAUCUGCCGAAGCCGUGGAUGUCGCAAGACAUGGUAGGGGAGCAUUCCAUGCGGCGUCGAAGAUGAGGGAUGACCCUUGUUGGAGCGCAUGGAAAAGCAAAUGUAGGUAUGAGUAACGAUAAGGGGGGCGAGAAACCCCCCCGCCGAAAGACCAAGGUUUCCUGAUCAACGCUAAUCGGAUCAGGGUGAGUCGGGACCUAAGGCAAAGCCGAACGGCGCCGCCGAUGGAAGAAUGGGUUAAUAUUCCCAUACUGCCUCAUGGAGUGACGUGGAGACGGAGAAGUGACAGUCCUGCCGGCUGACGGAAUAGCCGGUUGAAGGGUGUAGAUAUUGAUUCCCGUAGGCAAAUCCGCGGGGAGAGUCGAACCUGAGAGUAUACGGAGCGCUUGCGCAACGUAAUAUGGACGUAACCAUGCUCCCGAGAAAAUCCGCUAAACUUAUCCAUGCGGCACCCGUACCGUAAACGGACACACGUGGUCGGGUUGAGAAUACUGAGGCGCUCGAGUGAUUCACGGUUAAGGAACUAGGCAAAUUGACCCUGUAACUUCGGGAUAAAGGGUCCUCGUCGUAAGGCGAGGCGCAGAGAAUAGGUCCAGGCAACUGUUUAACAAAAACACAUGGCUGUGCUAAAUGGAAACAUGAUGUAUACAGCCUGACACCUGCCCGGUGCCGGAAGGUUAAGAGGAGAUGUCAUCCGCGAGGAGAAGCGUUGAAUUGAAGCCCCGGUAAACGGCGGCCGUAACUAUAACGGUCCUAAGGUAGCGAAAUUCCUUGUCGGGUAAGUUCCGACCUGCACGAAUGGUGUAAUGAUCUGGACGCUGUCUCAACCGUGAGCUCAGUGAAAUUGUAGUAUCGGUGAAGAUGCCGAUUACCCGCGAUGGGACGAAAAGACCCCGUGAACCUUUACUAUAGCUUUACAUUGAGUUUGGGCAGACGAUGUGUAGGAUAGGCCGGAGGCAUUGAAGCAGGUACGCCAGUAUUUGUGGAGCCGACGUUGAAAUACGGCCCUUCGGUUGUUUGAGUUCUAACUCCUAGUUAGGAGGACACUGUAUGAUGAAAAGUAAAAGGAACGAUUGCUUGAAAAGAUUUAUGAAGACUUCCUGCAAAUACACAAGAGAAAACGAGCUUCACAAAGAAGUGAGGCAGGAAGUGUAUGAGGAGGAAAAGAACUACUGUAACAACCUGUUUGAGUAACCGGUCAUGACAACCGUACUUGUAUGCCUGCUCGUUCUCUAUAACGCAUGGCUCGUGACCUAUCUGUUAUGGGAGAAACGGCAGGGUGGGAAACGUCCCGGAGCGGACAACCCGCCACAGAAAAAAAGAACCGCCGAUGCAACGGGGAUUGUAGGGAAAAGCCUGUUCAGGAUGGAAGAGGCAGCGGAGAAAGUGCCACAAGCUGCCACUUCCGGCAGAAGCGAGGAACUUCAGGAAGAGGAUGUUACAUUUGCCGACGAAAUGCCGGAGGAAACGACCGGAAAUGCCGACGAAGCGGAAAAAA
rnacentral:rRNA from 1 species